rnacentral:rRNA from 1 species
AGAGUUUGAUCAUGGCUCAGAACGAACGCUGGCGGCAGGCUUAACACAUGCAAGUCGAACGCACCUUCGGGUGAGUGGCAGACGGGUGAGUAACGCGUGGGAAUCUACCCAUCCCUACGGAACAACUCCGGGAAACUGGAGCUAAUACCGUAUACGCCCUUUGGGGGAAAGAUUUAUCGGGGAUGGAUGAGCCCGCGUUGGAUUAGCUAGUUGGUGGGGUAAAGGCCUACCAAGGCGACGAUCCAUAGCUGGUCUGAGAGGAUGAUCAGCCACAUUGGGACUGAGACACGGCCCAAACUCCUACGGGAGGCAGCAGUGGGGAAUAUUGGACAAUGGGCGCAAGCCUGAUCCAGCCGUGCCGCGUGUGUGAUGAAGGCCUUAGGGUUGUAAAGCACUUUCACCGGAGAAGAUAAUGACGGUAUCCGGAGAAGAAGCCCCGGCUAACUUCGUGCCAGCAGCCGCGGUAAUACGAAGGGGGCUAGCGUUGUUCGGAAUUACUGGGCGUAAAGCGCACGUAGGCGGAUAUUUAAGUCAGGGGUGAAAUCCCGCAGCUCAACUGCGGAACUGCCUUUGAUACUGGGUAUCUUGAGUAUGGAAGAGGUAAGUGGAAUUGCGAGUGUAGAGGUGAAAUUCGUAGAUAUUCGCAGGAACACCAGUGGCGAAGGCGGCUUACUGGUCCAUAACUGACGCUGAGGUGCGAAAGCGUGGGGAGCAAACAGGAUUAGAUACCCUAGUAGUCC